GAUGAACGCUAGCGGCAGGCCUAACACAUGCAAGUCGAGGGGGAAGUUACUUUCGGGUAACAGAGACCGGCGUACGGGUGCGUAACGCGUAUACAAUCUGCCUUUCACUGGGGGAUAGCCCGAAGAAAUUUGGAUUAAUACCCCAUAGUAUAGUAGUGUGGCAUCACACGACUAUUAAAGCCUUGGUGGUGAAAGAUGAGUAUGCGUUCUAUUAGCUAGUUGGAGAGGUAACGGCUCCCCAAGGCGAUGAUAGAUAGGGGUUCUGAGAGGGAUGUCCCCCACACUGGUACUGAGAUACGGACCAGACUCCUACGGGAGGCAGCAGUGAGGAAUAUUGGACAAUGGUCGGAAGACUGAUCCAGCCAUGCCGCGUGCAGGAUGAAGGUCUUAUGGAUUGUAAACUGCUUUUGUAAGGGAAGAAUAAGAGCUACGCGUAGUUUGAUGACGGUACCUUACGAAUAAGCAUCGGCUAACUCCGUGCCAGCAGCCGCGGUAAUACGGAGGAUGCGAGCGUUAUCCGGAAUCAUUGGGUUUAAAGGGUCUGUAGGCGGGCUUGUAAGUCAGAGGUGAAAGCGCUCAGCUCAACUGAGCAACUGCCUUUGAAACUGUUGGUCUUGAAUGGUUGUGAAGUAGUUGGAAUGUGUAGUGUAGCGGUGAAAUGCUUAGAUAUUACACAGAACACCGAUAGCGAAGGCAUAUUACUAACAAUUAAUUGACGCUGAUGGACGAAAGCGUGGGGAGCGAACAGG
rnacentral:rRNA from 1 species